rnacentral:misc_RNA from 1 species
GGUGGUGAAUUUCAGCUGUUUGUAAUGGCUGCUGCAGUUGUAUGGAGGCAGAUGAAAUCUGAGGUUGAUGAAGCAAAGGUGGCUGAGCAGCAGAUGGAAGAAUUGGAGAUACACUUGGAAUUUGAGAGGGUUGGGGGACAGAAAUGGGACUUGCUUGGGGGAUAUCAAAACCCUUGGGAUGCUGUGGUGUCUGUAGGGGAAUCAGAGGUGUUGACCGAGGCU